GACCAGCCGCGCAGGCGGCCACCGGCUGCUUUCAUUGGUGCAAAGAGCCGCCCCUGCCCCGGAGCGAACAGGUGCGCAUGAGCGAUGGGGCCACGCCCACCGCCCCGCUCUGGGAGGCGGAAGGCAGAGCUACCGCAGACGUGGAGCGAUGGAGGCCGCGGAGCCGGAGCCGACCGCGGCGAAUGGCGACUGCAGCCGCCCCCUGUCGCUCUCCGGACAGUCCUACUGGCUCGACGUGUGGCUCUUCGUCCUCUUCGACCUGGCGCUGCUCGUCGUCGUCUAUCUGCUGCCCUGAGCCCGCGGUGGCAGCUCAUAUUCAAGAUGAUGAUCCUUAUUUAUGAAAACAUACUUUGGAAGAAGACGACGAUGCAUGCAACAGGACAACGGGAAAUGAGACUCUCAAAACUGUUAAGCCAUUGAGUGCUAGUGAUACACAUUGAUCCAUUUAUGGAUGUACUGAUUUGGGGGGGUCCAGUUCAUCUCUAGCCUAUUUACUUCAACGGCAAUGUAAAUUGUUCAAGUUAAAUUACUUGAAAAGUUUGAGGAUAUUCUAGUUUCCAUGGCAGUAAGAUGGAUUGCUCAUGUCUUUUACAUAAUGUUUAGUGUUUGAAUAAAGAUCAAUUGAAAAAAUAGAACUUCAGACUGGCUGAAUAGCCCCAUCUGUAGAAGAGAUGGAUUGAAAUAGAAUUGUGUAGGAAGAUGUUGCCUGGUUUCUCCUGGGUUAGUUUAUUAGUUAUAGGUUUCAGGUUUUAUAGGUUAUGCCCAAAUUUGUUUAGUCUCUAAGGUGCUACAAGUACUCCUUGUUUGUUUUGUUUGUUUUUAAUUGGGUAUGACCUUUUCUGGCCUGGAAAGAUCAAUUCCCUCUUUCCAUGCAGCUCUGUCCCUCUGAGGCUUUUUAUAGGAGCUCUGUUGAGAGACAGGUAAUGACCAUAAUAGUAAGGUUUUAUUGGUGUUGUCUUAAAUUACCCAACAUGACCCUGGUUACUGUGCUGGUUGAUUAUAACCACUAUCCUUUCCUACAGGAAUAAGCUGUAGUGCUGUAAGUACACAGGGUCCUGUUCCUUUUUAAAGGGGUCCUCCUCUAUGCUAACCACUACAUCUCCUCUGAAAGAUCAUGCAGGUUUUGACAUCAGAAUCCCAUUGUAAUUAAGUAAGGAGUGUAAAAAGGCAAGCCUGGCUGCUUAAAGCUUUCCUACAUUUAAAGGGCUGCACUGGUAAAGAUGUGACCUACACCACUGGGGGGGGGGGGGGGGGGCGGCUUUUCCUGUUGGCAUAGGUACUCCACCUUCUUGAGAGGCAGUAGCUAUGUUUAUGGCAGAAGGUGGACCACUGAUAAAAAUGGAGGUUGCCUGGUACAUGGUGAGAUCCUGAAUGCAACUAGCAGAAGAUAAACAUUUUUUUUGCACCUCCAGCAAAACAGAUGGUUCAAACAUGAGAGAUCUGGGCAACUUCAGUAUUUAUGCUCUGCAAUGUUAAGCAAGCUGUCAUAAAUAAAAGGGAAGGGUAAACACCUUUAAAAUCCCUCCUGGCCAGAGGAAAAACCCUUUCACCUGUAAAGGGUUAAGAAGCUAGGGUAAUCUCACUGGCACCUGACCAAAAUGACCAAUGAGGAGACAAGAUACUUUCAAAAGCUGGGGGCAGGGAGAAACAAAGGAUUGUGGUCUGUCUGCAUGAUGCUUUUGCUGGGGACAGAACAGGAAUGGAGUCUUAGAACUUAGUAAGUAAUCUAGCUAGAUAUACAUUAGAUUGAUUUCUUUAAAUGGCUGAGGAAAUAAGCUGUGCUGAAAGGAAUAAAUAUUCCUGUCUUUGUGUAACUUAAGGUUUUGCCUAGAGGGAUUCUCUGUUUUGAAUCUAAUUACCCUGUAAGGUAUUAACCAUCCUGAUUUUACAGAGGUGAUUCUUUUUACUUCUAUUAAAAUUCUUCUUUUCAGAAACUGAAUGCUUUUUCAUUGUUAAGAGCCAAGGGUUUGGGUCUGUGGUCACCUAUGCAAACUGAGGAUUUUUACCAAACCUUCCUCAGGAAGUGGGGUGCAAGGGUUGGGAGGAUUUUGGGGCGAAAAGACGUUUCCAAACAACUUUCCCAGUAACCGAUUAAACGUUUGGUGGCAGCAGCGAAAGUCCAAGGGCAAAGAGUAAAAUAGUUUGUACCUUGGAAGUUUUAACCUAAGCUGGUAAAAGUAAGCUUAGGAGGUUUUUAUGCAGGUCGCCCCCAGGUCUAGGUCUGUACCCUAGAGUUCAGAGUGGGGAAGGAACCUUGACACAAGCUUUCUUUUUUUAAACACUAUUUGUGGCUAAUAUGUUUUAGUGAAGAUGUAUCAUCACUGUUCAAAUUAGAUUGGUGAAACAAAAUGUUGGAACACCUCUUUUAAAUCACCUGUUUAAAAUAAUACAGAGACUAGAGGUAGCAGCCACCAUAGUAGUUAGAUUUUUAUCUAAUAGUCUGAACAAGCAGCAAAAUGCAACUUGGCAUGAAAAUAAAAUUCUAAAGACUGAAAAAUAUUAGUUACAAUACCUGUUAAAUGCAUUAACACAUUACAAAAUGUCUGUUCUUAUACAAAUCUAUAACCAGGACAUUUAUAAAAAAAUAAAUAGGCACUCUAGCUAAAUCAAUGUCAGAUCACACAUUAGUUAACAAAUAUUAAACAAAAAUAGGACCUGUAGAGUAAAUAUAAAAACUGAAGGUGUCAGUAAAAUAGUGCACAUAUAACUUAUCUCGUAAACAGGUCAUAUACAAAAGAUUUUGCCUGGGAAGACUGCUUCAAGGAAAGACUAAUGUUCAUCUAAAUGACUUCAAUGAAGAUUGUUGCAUUUCAGAAUUCCAGAAGAACCUAAGAAGCUAUUCUUGAAUAAACUCCCCAAUUAUGCUCACUAGCUUUCCAGAAACCAAAUUCACUUGUGUUAGUAAUAGGCAUUCACUUUGCUCCUUUGUAUAUAAGUAUGAAUGUUUGCUAUGCACAUUUAAGAACAUUAAGUUUGCUCUUAUAUAGUAUUCAGUGUUCUGUUCAUAUGUUAAAUUACUGCAAUUUCAAAUAAAAGAUUUCUGGAAAAGCUUGACAAGUUCUAGUACUAUGUUUUUAAAAGAUGACAUUAAUUAAGUAGCUGUGUACAUUAAGUAAUGCCUAUCUGAUAUGGGUUAAAAAUUUGUCAGCUAUUUUUAACAAAACAAAAACACAACAACGGUGGGAAUCUUCCAUGCUUUCACACAUCCAAACGUUCUUAAAUCAAGUUCUUUCUCCCCACCCAGUCUUAUCCAGAAUGUAAGGAUUUUCAGUAGGUUCAAUUUCACUUGCAUUCAUAUCUAUACAUGUUGAAUGUAUUUGCUUUAGAUAUAACAAUAUCAAUUCCAGAAUUCAUUCUUUCAAAUGCUACUGAGUGACUGAAAAGUGUAAAGAGGCUGGCUUGAGAUAUUUAGUCUGCAGCAUAUCAUGGUAGCAUAUUAAAAAUGACAAAUCUUAGAUUGAAUUCAUGGUAGGACAUUGGCAAAGUAAGCACAGCUUCUGUUUUAUAUUUUGGAUAACUUAAAAUACACAUGAUUGUCACCAUUUGGCUGAAGCACUAAUUUACAUAAUGUACAAAAACAUUUAAACCUGUUUGACCACAGGACAAGUAUAACAUACAUAUGUAGCAUUAAGCUCAGAACUAAAAGGCAUUUUACACUUAACUGUAAUCAGUACCACCCAAUUUUAAAAAUUUAAGCACCUUCGUUUACAUUUAAGAAAGCCAUGAGCUUCAACUACUCAUUUUACACAGUCCUGAUUUGAGAGUAUUCAUUACAAGUUACAUUAGUUAUUUCAGUGGCCAACAAAUGGUACAAAACAUGAAUGGAUUACCAUGAAGCUGAAUUAUGAACCUCCCUAAAGGGUGCAGAUUCAAUUAAAAGCUUAUCCAAAGGGGAUGUAGAUUUGUUUAGCCAUUCAUUGAAAAUACAGUCUAGAAGUGUUUUGGAGUAGGAGACUGCUAGCUGGGGACAAAAAGUUCUGUAACAGUAAGUCUGACUGACUGAUCCCAUAAAUUUGCUCAGGUUUAUGUAAACCACAGUGAUGUAUUUUCAAUAGGGAAGGGGAAGAGACAGACAGGUAGGUACACAGUAGGGAUGAGUUUGCAUACAGCUGCUAAAUCAAUCUGACCUGAAGACUAAGGUCUUGAAUGUAAAUGUACUGCUGCUUAAAUUAAUCUGGUGUAGGUACAUGUGACAACUUCAUAUCCUAAAAUAUAUUUGUUUCUACAGCACAUUGCAGACUAUAUUAAUUUGUAGCUUACAUAGCUAAAUUAAAUUUCAGUAAUAAGUUAAGGUAUCACAGCUUUGCUUGUGGAACACUGACUAGAAUUUAAGUUAAAGGAGCAAACAGUUGGAUAAAAAAAGUGUACAAAUAUGGAACUGGAGUUUUAGGAUAAUUAAAAAAUUCUAAUUCCCUUGUAAAUUCCUGUCUCCAGUCCAUGUAGACUAGACCAAUUUGUAAAAUCACUCAUUAAGGCAGCAUUUUGAGUACUAAAAAUCCAAUUAUCUGGGUAAACUUGCAUUAAAAAAGACACUUAAGGAUAAAGGAAAUUAAGUUAGACUUUCACAGAAGUCAGAUGAAGAAAUAGGGAACAUUGUUACUCAUUAGGAAAAAUGGUUCCAUAAAGCAGAUGUUCUGUAUGUACCAUGCUAUGUAUGGUACUGUACUUAUUAGCAUAUCACUAGCUAGUUGAAAGGAUUACAGGUUAAUUUACACCUUUUCUCAGUCUGUGGCACUAAGCCACAAGUGUAUUAAGUUCUCCAGUAAAAUGAACAAUUUAUUAAGUUAAUCUCAUGCGACUGAUCUACCUUGGUAUUAAUUAAAAGCACACACUUUUAAGGGGACCAUUUGUAAGAGACUUACAAACUUAUUCAGCAUCAUCACAUAGAGGUAAACAUAGUUAAGGCAAGAAAGAAAAAGACAAAUCCAUGAACAUAGGGCCAAAACUUUAGCACCUUUUCCCCUGCUCACCCAGAUUUGCAGAAUCAUUUAAACAGUCAUAUCUCUUAAAAGCAUGGCUGACAGGAUACCUAAGUAUGCAGUGUUGUAGCUGUGUCCAUCCUAGGAUAUUAGAGACACAAAGUGGGUGAGGUAAUAUCUUUUAUUGGACCAACUUCUGUUAGUAAGAGACAAGCUUUUGAGCUCUGGAUACCUGUCACCAAACAUUGAGAAGUCCAUGCGAAAUGCAUAAGGAGGACAUACAUUUGAAAAUUUACCUGUUGCAAUGUAUGCCUUCUAUGCUAGGUUUGUAUCUCUGUUCAGAUGUGGGAUGACUGGAAUCAAGAGCACCAUGGUAUACAAUGCCCAGAUCUAGUCCAGUUGGUGGUAGAUGCUUAUCUUUGUGGAAGCCACCACUGUUGGCAAAAUACAGCUUGGGUCUCUGAUGGUAUUUCAUCCUGUAUGUAUCUGUCAUGCAACUAUCUACUGAAAAAUAGGUUGUUAGACAUACACUAUCAUUUGCAUCAGGAGAGCUAGCACUUGGUCCUGUGUGCUGAGAUCCUUUAUUAAAAAUACUGCCAGAUACAGUCUGACAGUCAUUAACUGAUGAGCUAGGUGCGGAAUCCAGUUUGUGAAUGGUGUGCUCAUUCCCUUGAAAUGUUUCUUUAAAUCUUUCUUCAUUUGUAAAUGCACCUUCUGAUGCAGUUUUUGAAGCAAUAGCUGUUUGCCUUCCAAAAUUUGAAGGGUUACUCUGCAACACUUCUGGCAAUUUUAAAUCAGCUGCGGAUUCAUUUUUUGAUCCCAGCGAAACAUUCAGAGUAUAUUUCUUUGGAGGUAAAGGAGGUGGAAGAUUUUGGUAAAUUACUUCUGGACUCUGAAGAUUAUUAGUCCUACCAAAUGACUGAACAGCACAUUCACCAGAUAAGGACAGCUCUGUGUGGGACUGUUCUAACAGAUUCUGUUGUACUAACGAUGCGAGCUCUGACUUUGAUCCAAGAGUUCUUGUAUGAGGAGACUGCAGCUGAGAUGAUGAGAGAAAUUCACUGUUUUUCAUUCUCUUUCCACACACAACUAAGAGUUCAGUGUUACAAGGGUGGGCUGAGCUCUCAGCACUGUAAACUGGCAUACUGAUUGUCUCAAGUUUACCUGGAUUAAGCCACUCUGAAGAGCUCUGUUCAUUUAACUUGCCGAUCUUUGUUUCUCUCUUAACGUGGUCCUUAAAAUUUGGCUGUAGAGUCGAUGAAGGGAAUAUUUUCCUGUGUGGCAUCUCUACUCUAAAAUAUAAACGUGCACAGGUAUUUUGGAACCAGUCACAAGAGAUUUCUUCACAAACAUUUACACAUGCAGUUUUUUUAAAGCAUACCCCACACCCAUAAAUCCUAAGUACUGUGAAUAUGUAUUUUUUUUUUUAUAAUGGUGUUCUUGGAGACAUAAUUAAAUAUCCUUUACCCUGAUCUGACUGGAGGAUUCAGAGACUUAUUUAACAAAUAUUCAUUUAGCUCCAAGGUAUAUCAAAUCACUGCAGAUUUUCUUUCAUAAGAAAUUUGAAGGAUUAACAAAGCUCUGCAAAUGAUUCAUAGAUUCACCUCCAAUAAGGAAAGAGGAAUCUUGCUAAACGGAAUGGAGUCAGGUCUGGAUUCUUUUCCUAUUCCUACCACACUGACUUUUGGACAAGUCAGGUAUGUCAAAAAUUUGAAAAAAUGUCCACUACUUUUGGUUGCCCAAUUUUACACUCCAGGUCCUGAUUUUCAGAGAUGCUAAGCACCUGCAGCUCCCACUGACUUCAGUUGGAGCUGUGAGUACACAUCACUUCAGAAAGACAGAUCUAGGUGGUAGGUAACUGGCUACCCCAUUUUUAACUACAGUUUUCAGAAGACAGUUUGACCAAUCAUUAUUUGUUGUAUGAAUGUACAAAAUACAUCACUUUAAACUCCUGACCUAGUUAAGAUGGUUAAAUAUCAGAUAAAGGGCCAGAUUGUUAGAUGCCUAAAUCCCUUUAAAAAUCCGGCCUAAAAUUUGGUUCUCUGUUGGCUGAUACUUAUAAACAUCAGUCAGGUUUCCUUGCGUUUUCAAAAGGCAAAUUUGUCAGCCAAGUCAUUUUUGACACACUAGGUACAAUAUUAAAAUAAUGUCUGAAGACUAAGUUUGAAAUGCAUUUGGAUAUAUUAUAGAUUCUCUUUUAGUCAAGAAAUGGAGCUCCACAUGGACAUUGUAUUUCAGAGGGAAAAGUUUCACAGUAAGAAACACAAAAGUUAAUUACCUCUUCAGUGGAGGACUGUGCAUCUGCAAUUGAGAUUCUGAAGGAAAGUUAAUGUGUGGUCUGUAAUUAGCUUCCAUAUUCAUUUGGUUUUUUCUCAAGUCUGGAAAAAAAUAGCCCAGUUUUACUUUACAGUAAGUAAAAUGCUUCCUCUUUCUUAAGGGUUCAUUACAAGUUACUUACACUAACAAAACAAACCUCCACUAAACAGGAUACUGUUAAUUAUUUUCAACAUUACAAUGAAAAGAAUAUGGGUCAACAAAACCACUUCCAGUAAAAAACCUUCUACACUGUUUUUCACAAGUUCGAUUUGUUACACUUCAAAAAGGGGCUUUUUAAUAAGAAAGACCUAAUAAAAUAUCUACAUACUGAAGAGCUUAAUUACUAAAAAUAUACCUCUGAUUUCUCUGUUAAUAUCACAUGCUUAAACACCUAGCAAGUGAUGGACACAGUUCAUUUCUAAGAUUUCUAAAUGCUGUGGGUCCAUGGAGGCACAAGGUUAAAGGUUAACUUCAACUCCCAGAAAAGUAUAUAGAACAGGUACUUAAUCGUGCAGUAUCUGUGUUCAAGAUAUAUUUACUAUAUAUGCUAUUGGUAUCCAUGUCCCCCAUGUGCAUAAGGUCAGAUUCUUUUCACCAGCAAUGUCCACUGGGACCAUGCCUGUGCCCUAGAUGUUCUCAUGUCCCCACCAUCCAAGUGCAUAAAGGGGCAGAACAGGCCCAAUUACCCUUAGUUACUUCACCAAUAUAUAAUCACAGAAAGGUGGACACCAUAGUAGCAGAGAAAGAAGAGUCGUUGAAUCCACAUGGACAACACAUUUUGAAGAAUCACAAUUACUUUAAGUAAGUAACCAUUCUUCUGAGCAAUUGUUUACAUGGAUUCCACUCUUGGUAACUAACCAGCAGUUGCCUGUUUGCUUGGAGGUAGAUACUAGAGUUCCUACUUAAACAAUGACUGCAGGACAGUCCUACCAAAAUGGGCAUCCCAUCUGGAAGUCUCUACACCAAGGCGCAGUGUCUUCUAAAGGGUAGGCCAAACUCCACACACCUGCACCCCAGAUUGCAGGGAGAGGGACAUUCUUCAAAAAGACAGAAAAUGCAUGAUUUCCAGUAGAAUGAGCUCUAAUGUAGCAAGGUGAAUUUAACUUGGUUAACUCGUAACAUGUCCUUAUAUAGCUGGAGACCCACUUACAUAACCUCUGUGAUGGUAUACAUUGCCCCUUAACUAUCAGCAAAGGCCAUGACUAGAUUGAGCAUGUUCUUGAAUGAUUUUGCCUUGUUGAUGUAGGAAGACAGUUAUCCUUACUACACUAAUUUUGUGUGAAGUUUAGCUUCUCCCAGGGUUGAAUGAGGUUUGAGACAGAAAACUAGGAAGCAAAUAGAUUGGGUCAUAUGGAACUCAAACCACCUUGAAACUUCAGUGAUGCCUAAGAGACUUUGUAUUUAUGAAACCCUGUAUAAGGGGAACCUGACAUGAAAGCAUAACUUUCCCCUACCCUUCUAGUUAAUGUACCAGCCACUAAAAAAGCAACUGAAAAAUAGCAACCUAUUCCCUGUACCAAAGGUUAGGGUGUGAAAAAUCAAUCCUGCUAAUACCGUAUUGAGGCCUUUAAGGAAUCUUGGCACAGUAGUGAGAGAAAAUGUAGUAUGGCCCUGCAUAGGAGGGUAAUGCACAGAUAUUGCUCCUAAAUGGACCCAGACCCUGACCCUUAUGGACCUGAUAAAGUUCAGAUUGUUUCACAGCUAACAGUUUAAUACUGCUGAAACUGGGGAUGUCAAGAGAGGCAGCUGGUGCUGAGAUGCCCUAAUGGAAACCCUCUUCCAUUUUGCUUGUAAUAAUUUUGCUUUGUAGUCUGGUUGAAAGUUUCCUUCUUUGGAACAGAAUGUUCUGAACAUCAGUUGAACAGCUUUUUUCGGUAGAUGUCAGCCAGCCAGUAUCCAGGCUGUCAGAUGUAAUGAAGCUGUGUUCAGGUAUAGGAUUAAGCAUUGUUCUGAACAACAAUACUGAGCAGGGCCAGUAGACCAAUGGGGGGGAAGGGGGGAGGACAGGCGGUGUUGAAAGGUUCAUCAGUUGUGAAUACAGGAACUGCCUAUCCUAUGCUAUGGCUAUCAUAAAUGCUCUGUCCUAUGUCUUGAUUCGCCCUCCUCAGAACCCUUGGUAUCACAAUGAAUCAACAGAAAGGCAUACAUCAGUCCUGGCAUCCAGGAGAUGAGAAGGGCAUCUGUCAAGGGGCCUGGGCUCGAAACGCCCCCUGGAACAAAAUAUCUGACACUUGUUGGCCUGGUCUGUGGCAUACAUAUGUUUCUAGGAAUCCUCACUUGCAAAAGUUAUUCUGUAGUACUGAAUAUUUAAACAGACCACUCCUGGUUGUCUGAGAGCUUCCAGCUGAGUUGAUCAGCUAAGGUGUUCUAAAGGCUGGGAAGGUGCUGAUCCACUAGGUGUAUUCUGAAUAAGAUCCUACAAUUCCAAAGCUGCAUAGCCUCCCAGCAGAAUGGGGAUGAUCUUGUUCUUCCCUGCCCGUUGACAUGCACAGGUGUGAAGUUGUCUGUUGGCACUUGUACUGUCGAAUCCUGAAGAGGCAGGAAUAUUUGCAUGCCAGGCAGAUGGCUCUGAGCUCUAGGACAUUUAUAUGGAGACAGGCUUCUUGAGGAGACCAUAAGACCCUAAAUCCAAAGGUGAUCGAGAAGAUGAGGAAGAGAUUACUGAACAGAGGAAUCAGAGAAGCAGCCGUGUUAGUCUGUAUUCGCAAAAAGAAAAAGGAGUACUUGUGGCACCCUAGAGAUUAACAAAUUUAUUUGAGCAUAAGCUUUUGUGAGCUACAGCUCACUUUAUCGGAAUGCAUCCAAUGAAGUGAGCUAUAGCUCAUGAAAGCUUAUGCUCAGAUAAAUUUGUUAGUGAAUAGAGGAAUGUCACCCAAGUCUUGGUAAGCAGAGGGUAGAGAAAAGUACUUUCUUGCAGACCUGAAGAGGAUCAGUCUUUCCACCAGUUUAAUGAGAUUACUUCUUGUGGGACCAUGAUCAUCACAUGCACAUGGUGUCUACUGUAGAUAUACUGAUUUGAACACUUGAAUAGAGCAUAGGUGAAGUCUGGCAAACUAUGUCAUACAGGAGCUUGAAGCCAUGUGUCCAAGAAGUCAAGCAUGUUUUCACUGAUUUUCUUGGGUGAUCUUGAAGUUGGUUGGUAAGAUCUAUUAUUAUUUGGAAUCUUUCCUGUGUAAGGUAAACUGUUGACCUAGAGUCCACUGCUCCUGCUCCAAUGAAAGCUAUGCUCUCACCGUAGUGGAUUUCUCUCUGUUGACUGAGAUCCAGGAAGGCAAAAAGCUUUAGGGUUACCUAAAUUCAGUUGUUCACCUGGUUGGGGUCAUCUUCCUUGAAUUAGUUAAAGUAUGGACAGACCUGGAUUCCUGCCUUUUUUAGAUGAGCUGCCACAAUUGCCAAGCACUUGAUGAACACCCUUGGUGGUGUGGAAAGACUAAAAGGCAGGACCCUGUAUUGGUAGUGUAGCGAGGCAGAGUGGUUCCCUGCCGCCCCAGAGUGGGCUGAGCCCUUCUCCACACCAGAGUGAGCACAGCCAGCGAGUCCCACGCCGGCCCCCCAGCGGUCAAGGCACAGGACAGGAAGCAUAAAAGCCCAACCCCAGAGCUCACUCAGGAAGCAGCUGCUGGAGAGGCCAGACACCGCCGGCCUAGCUCCCAGUUGGGAGACCCCGGCAACCUACGGCGGACCCGAGGACUGGCCUGACCUGCCAACGCCUGACACCGACCAGAGCCUGGAGGAGCUGCCCAGCCUGCUCCUUGCCAGUUACCCAGAGGACCCCAUGGUGCUUGACCUCACAGAGGACACGCACCGGACCCAGGUAUCUCCAGAGGAGGAGUUCAGAAGUAGCCCGGGGGCAGCCAACCCUACUCUGGCUGCAGCACUGCCAGAGUUUAAGUCAGUGUGUUGCGGCCAGGAUCCCCACUGACUCCGCAGCAAGCCUUCUGCCAAGAUUUCUUAAAAUAAGAGGUGGUUGCCAUCAGGAGGCCAAGACAUUAAAAAUAUUUCUCAGGCUUUUGACAGUGGCAUCAAAUUCGUUGUCUGGUGAAAGCCCCAGACUGAAGAGCAAAAGAGGAAACAGAAUAGGAUUGCCCAUGGUGGAAUCUCUCUCUCCUUCAGCUGAUCUGAGGUCCUCUUUUGUCUGAUAGUAAUACUUGGCAGAGGAGUGCUGUCUGAAAGAUGGCUACUGGCAUUUGCACUUUCUUCUUGAAGCACGAACCAUGGGUCCAAAGAGCAGAAGUCAGGAAAAAAGGAGCUGUGAAGUCCCUUGGUUGGACACAAGGAGGCAGCAGCGAUUUGCAAGCAAUCACUAGAAUGUCACUGGGGCAGGCGUUCAAUCACAGCCGUUCUCAGACACUGGGAGGUUUGUGCAUUUGGAGUUCCAGCUAAUUUAAAAAUAGCUGUGCUAUUUUUCUCUUCUGCUGACAUGGAGAUCCAUG